ACGAGAAUAUUCCACAAUGGACGAAAGUCUGAUGGAGCGACGCCGCGUGGUUGAUGAAGUCCUUCGGGACGUAAAAACCUUUUAUGGGGGAGGAAGUUAUUGACGUUACCCCAUGAAUAAGAGGCUCCUAACUCUGUGCCAGCAGGAGCGGUAAUACAGAGGCCUCAAGCGUUACCCGGAAUCACUGGGCGUAAAGGGUGUGUAGGCGGCGAUGUUAGUCUUUCGUAAAAGACCGUAGGCUUAACCUAUGGAGUGCGGAGGAAACGGCAUUGCUCAGAGGAUGCGAGAGGUAUAUGGAACUCAUGGUGUAGGGGUGAAAUCCGUUGAUAUCAUGGGGAACACCAAAUGCGAAGGCAAUAUACUGGCGCACUCCUGACGCUGAAACACGAAAGCGUGGGAAUCGAACGGGAUUAGAUACCCCCGUAGUCC
rnacentral:rRNA from 1 species